rnacentral:lncRNA from 1 species
CUACAACUCUCUUGGAUCAUUGUUUUGUAGGUUUUCUGGUGAGAAGGUCCUUUAGCAGUGAAAACCUACCAGAAACGGCAAGGACAAUUAAUGGUCUUUUCACCACUUCCCAAUGAGGCUGAGAUUGCGCACACCAAGAAACUUUUUAGACGCAAGAGGAAUGACCGACGGAGACCGCAACGAACUCAAGGAGGAGGUGGUGGAGGAGGCGGUGGGAAGAACCAGCCUCUGCACAUUCAGCAGUCGCCACAGCAUCAAAAAGAUCAAACUCGGCAAUCAUCUCCAAACCAGAACCCAACAGAACUGGGGGACAAUAAAAAUAGCGGUCGACCGCCACGGCAUGGGCAGCGCCAAGGAGGACGCCCGCUUCACGGAUACAGUCAAAGUCGACGUUGGCACCCGAAUCAGAAAGGUCAAGAGCCCGAACAGACAAAUGCUGUGGGCGAUAAAGGCAUGCCCCCAAUUACUACCAAAGACACGGAGAAUGUUACACAGAGUGACAAGUUGGUCUGCCACAAGACCAACAAAACACCUCCUCGAAAAGUCUGUCGGAGUCGCCCCAAACUGAGACCACACCCACUAAAAAUGACUUUUCAGGCCUGA